rnacentral:rRNA from 1 species
UACGGGGGGGGCAAGCGUUGUUCGGAAUUACUGGGCGUAAAGGGCUCGUAGGCGGCCAACUAAGUCAGACGUGAAAUCCCUAGGCUCAACCUGGGAACUGCAUCCGAUACUGGAUGGCUUGAAUCCGGGAGAGGGAUGCAGAAUUCCAGGUGUAGCGGUGAAAUGCGUAGAUAUCUGGAGGAAUACCGGUGGCGAAGGCGGCAUCCUGGACCGGCAUUGACGCUGAUGCGCGAAAGCCAGGGGAGCGAACGGG